CACGGAGGGUGCAAGCGUUAUCCGGAUUCACUGGGUUUAAAGGGUGCGUAGGUGGGAAUGUAAGUCAGUGGUGAAAUCUCCGUGCUUAACACGGAAACUGCCAUUGAUACUAUGUUUCUUGAAUUAUCUGGAGGUCAGCGGAAUAUGUCAUGUAGCGGUGAAAUGCUUAGAUAUGACAUAGAACACCAAUUGCGAAGGCAGCUCACUAAACUGUAACUGACGCUGAGGCACGAAAGCGUGGGGAGCAAACAGG
rnacentral:rRNA from 1 species